GAAUCGCGAUAGGUAUUGUGAAUUGCAGAAUUUCGUGAACCAUCGAAUCUUUGAACGCACAUUGCGCCCUCCGGUAUUCCGGGGGGCAUGCCUGUCUGAGCGUCAGUAAUACAUCCCCUAACCAAUUUAUUUUGGCCCAAGGGGGCUUUGGGUUAGGCAAGUAUGCCUUUCCUGAAAAAGAGUGGCAAUUGAUAUUAAAGAAGCCAGUGUUAUAGGUUUACCAUCACUUUAUUCUUUAAUAUCGGUGCCGUAAAGCUGCCUAAAAAUGCUUAUGCAUUUUUGGAAAUUAGAACUGUUGACCUCAGAUCAGGUAGGAACACCCGCUGAACUUAA
rnacentral:misc_RNA from 1 species